UUCAGAGCGCCACUGUCUCCCUCUAGUGGCUGGACUACCAGACAUUGAGGAGCCCGCUACAGCCUAGCUCCAAUAGACCUAGAUAUUUUAUCUCAUGCAAUAGAAGCUCAUGAUUUUAGAGACAGAUACCAACUGACACUGACCCACCCAGGGUCAUUGUGUUACAGUAUUGCCAGUCCCAAGCAUUCAAAAAUCAUGAGAUUGCCUUAAGAGAAAAUCAAGAGGUUUAAAAAUAUAAUAAUUUAGGAUUAUUUUUAUUCCCAGCGGCUUGAGAUUUUAGGGCAAGGUUUUUAACGUUUAAACAAGAAAUUUACUAGAUUUUUAAAUGAAAGCUUAAAUGAGACCCUCAUCUAAACAUGACUCCACUAAAUAUUGUGAGACUUGCAAUAAAAAUCAAGAGUUGGUAACAGCAUCCUCCUCUGACUGGUGUGUUGGUCAAAGGGACUGAGCAGGAGUGCCUGAAGAGUCAUUGAUCCAGCUCCUGCAUAACUGCCUGAAUCUCCCACCUUAGUGGCCAGGUAGUUACCUAUUGAACCUCAAUAGGAGCCUCAUGCAAUGGAGAGAAAAUGAAGACCCUAGUGUGGAAGAAGAGGCCACAGCAAUGUCCCUGCAACAGGAAAGAGCCACAGCCACAAAGGGAAUAGGAAAAGUAUACCCUGUUGGUAGGAGUGGGUCACUGCAUUUCAGCACAUGCAAGCAGCAGUGGCUGGUGUGCAGCUGGGGUUGCUCUGAUGAACAGUUUAUGUUGGCAUUUCAAAUAUCACCAGCAUCACUGGACGAAGCACCCAUUGAAAUAACUAAGCCAGAUCACAUCCAGAACUAGUUUUUUCAGGCUCUCUGCCAAUUCAGGCAGAGAUCUUUGCAGAAGUUAUACUCAGUUCAUGUUUCCAAGAUUUUGUUCGCAACCAUAGUAGCUAGAAGCUUACUUUAUUUUUAAAUGAAAGCUGGGACUCUGAAGAAAAAUUAAGAAGCCUGUCCACACCUUCAUGCUAGUUUUUCACACUUCCUCCCAAUGGGGCACAUCUCUUACUCUGGAAAACAUUGCACUAACCAACCACAGCCAAAUACAAUUCUUCUUCAUGGCAACAAGUUCUAAGGAUGGGAAGAAAAAGAAGAAUAAUUCAAAAUUAUCACCACCUCCCUUGGGGUUCUUGGGUGCACUCCAAUGCAUACA